rnacentral:rRNA from 1 species
CCGAGUGGCGGACGGGUGAGUAACGCGUGGGUAACCUGCCUCAUACAGGGGGAUAACGGUUAGAAAUGACUGCUAAUACCGCAUAAGCGCACAGUACCGCAUGGUACGGUGUGAAAAACUCCGGUGGUAUGAGAUGGACCCGCGUCUGAUUAGUUAGUUGGUGGGGUAACGGCCCACCAAGGCGACGAUCAGUAGCCGACCUGAGAGGGUGACCGGCCACAUUGGGACUGAGACACGGCCCAG